rnacentral:rRNA from 1 species
CCGGUCCCAUUCCGAACCCGGAAGCUAAGCCUGCACACGCUGAUGGUACUGCAACCGGGAGGUUGUGGGAGAGUAAGUCACCGCCGACA